UUGUGGUGGCGGGAAAUGGUGGAAAUUUUCUUCUGAUUUUUUUUCUCAAUUUCCCCAGUAAAAUAGGAGGUUUUGGAAAUUUGAGGAGCGGUGCUGUGAAAUAGCCCUCUAGGAGAGUGAGAAAAUGGACUAGGGCAGUAUAGAGGAUUGCUGCUCAGAUAAGAGGGUUCAUCUGAAGUUUCUGGCUCACGUGAGACCAGUCCUCUUAGUUGUGUGUUUCUCUCCAGCCUUGAGUAGCUGGGGGAGAGAGGGUGGGGAGCAGCACAGAGGAGAUAGAGUGUUGGGUUUAAUUAGUGUUGGGGUUUUACCAAGUGAGCAUGCAAAGGAAACAGACAGUAAAGGAAGUGCAACAGUGUGCCAGGAAGCGAUUAUGAUGAUUGACCAUUGAUUUUAAGAGAGUUCUGUUGACCUCCAGGCUGGAUGACUGAAGACAGCUAUGGACAGUUUCCAGAGCCCACUUGCAAGUAGGUGGGGCAAAGCUUCUAAUUCUGCUCGGCUGAGUCAGUCAUUGGUGCCCAGAUGGGUGUGGCUGAGGACACAGAUGGCAGAGAGAAAACACCAACAGUUGUAUCUUAGAUGGCUGCUAGCAACUUUUUAAGACUCCAGAAACUACUCACAAAACGAGGAUGUAGAACACAAACUUUGUGAACUCAGUUGACUGAGUUGUUCCAUGAGACAAUGUUCCUGUGGCUACAAACCAAGAAAACCAACCAAACAAGGUACUUGGUUAUGUCUAAGAAAUAUCUGUAACUGUGCCCCCACAUGCUUUAUUGUAUAUAUGAACAUAAAUGCACGCGCACGCACGCACACACACACACGUACAUACAUAUACAUAUAGCUACAUGCCACCACUCAUCUGUUAGUUUGUCAUACUGUGGUGGCUUGAAUGUUGCUGUGAUGUUGAAACUUAUGGCACCGGUAUUUCAAAUACCAACAGGUUUCAUCCAUGGUAGGCAGGCUUCAGUGGAGCUUCAAAACUAAGACAGAAUAGGAAGAAGGACCUGUCUGUCUACUUCUGAAAAAACUGGCCAGUGAAAAUCUUAUGAAUAGAAACGGGACAUUGUCUGGUAUAGUGGCAGAAGAUGAGUUGCUCAUGUUGGAAGGUACUCAGAAUUCAACUGAGGAAGAGCUGCCUCCUCAAAAUAGAGUUGACGUUAAUGAUGUGUAUGGAGAAAAGGUUUUGGGACCUUCGUAUGGUGAUGUGUCAUGACUCAAAACAAGAAGAAACAGAUGGAAACAUCCAUUAAUAAUCGGAAUGUAGAAUGUUUGAAGCACGAAUAAAGGAGAGUUGGAAGUCAUCAAAAAUGAAAUGGAACACAUAAAGAUCAAUAUCCUAGGCAUUAGUGAGCUGAAAUGGACUAAUAUUAGCUAUUCUGAGUUGGAUAAUCAUAUGGUCUACUAUGCUGGAAUUGACAAAUUGAAGAGGAAUGACAUUGCAUUCAUCAUCAAAAAGAGCAUUUAAAAUCUAUCCUGAAGCACAAUGUUGUCAGUGAUAGGAAAAUAUCCACGCGCCUACAAGGAAGACCAGUUAAUAUGACUAUUAUUCAAAUUUGUGCACCAACCACUAAUGCCAAAGAUGAAGAAAUUGAAGUUUUUACCAACUUUUGCAGUCUGUAAUUGAUCAAACAUGCAAUCAAAAUGCAUUGAUAAUUACUGGUGAUUGGAAAGCGAAAGUUGGAAACAAAGAAGAGGGUCAUGACUUUGGUGAAAGAAAUGAUGCAGGAGAUCACAUGAAGAUAGAAGGAAUACACAGAGUCACUGUACCAAAAAGAAAUGAUGGAUUGUCAACCAUUUCAGGAGGUAGCAUAUGAUCAAGAAACAAUGGUAUUGAAGGAAGAAGUCUAAGCUGCACUGAAGGCAUUGGUGAAAAGCAAGGCUUCAGGAACUGACAGACUACUAACUGAGAAGUUUCAGCAAACAGAUGCAGUGCUGGAGUGCACACUGAUCUAUGCCAAGAAACUUGGAAGAUAACUACCUGGCCAUCUGACUGGAAGAGAUCUGUGUUUGUACCCACUGCAAAGAAAAGUAUUCUAAUAGAAUGCAGAAGUUAUUGAACAAUAUCAUUAACAUCACACACAAGUAAAAUUUUGCUGAAGAUCAUUCAAAAAUGAUUGCAAAUAAUCCACUUAAAAAAUGGGCAAAGAAUAUGAACAGAUACUUCACCAAAGAGGACAUUCAAAUGGCUAAGACACAUGAGGAAAUGCUCACGAUCACUAGCCAUUAGAGAAAUGCAAAUGAAAACCACAAUGAGAUACCAUCUCACCCUGACAUUGCUAUCACACAUCAAAAAACAGGAAAUAACAAAUGUUGGAGAGUCUUCGGGGAGAUUGGAACUCCUAUACAUUGCUGGUGGGAAUGCAAAAUUUUACAAUCAUUUUGGAAAAAGCUAGAAAUAGAAAUACCAUACAAUCGAGCAAUUCCACUCCUAGGAAUAUAUCCUAGAGAAAUAAGUGCCAUCACAGAAUAGACAUAGGCACACCCAUGUUCACUGCAGCGUUGUUCACAAUAGCAAGAGUUGGAAACAACCUAGGCGCCCAUCAACAGAUGACUGGAUAAACAAACUACGGUACUUAAACAUGGUGGAGUACUGUGCAAUGGUAAAGAAAAAAGAUGAAUCUGCAAAGCAUUUCACAACUUGGAUGAAUCUGGAGGAAAUUAUGCUGAGUGAAAUAAGUCAAUCACGAAAGGACAAAUAUUGUAUGAGACCACUACUAUAAAAACUAAUGAAAGGUCUAUAUUCAAAAAGCAACAAUCUUUGAUGAUUAUGAGGUAGAGGAGGGGUAGGGAUGGAAAAGCACUAAAUAGACGAUAGAUAAGUGGUAACUUUGUUGAAGGUGACUUACUGAACUGGUAGAGGAUAGAGGAACCCCCAAGAUGAUCACCUUGUUGUAAAUUCCCCCCUCUCUGCUCACUUCCCUUUUCUUUUAUCUCUCAUAACAUAAAAUGCCGUACAGGCCAUGCCCCGGGGAAACUCCUUUUACAUUGGAUCAGGGAUGAGACCUUAGUAAGGGGUAAGGGUGUUACAAUCCCAUCCUAAUCCUCUAAUCUUGCCUCAUUAACCACAAGCAGAGAUUAGGAUUUACAACACAUAGGAAAAUUAGAAUCACAAAAUGGAGGACAACCACACAAUACUGGGAAUCAUGGCCUAACCAAGUUGACACAUAUUUUGGGAGGACACAAUUCAAUCCAUGACAGUGCUCAACCAAACAGUGAAGAAAUAUAG